rnacentral:rRNA from 1 species
CCUACGGGUGACAACAGUGGGGAAUAUUGGGCAAUGGGCGCAAGCCUGACCCAGCAACGCCGCGUGAAGGAAGAAGGCUUUCGGGUUGUAAACUUCUUUUCUCAGUGACGAAGCAAGUGACGGUACCUGAGGAAUAAGCCACGGCUAACUACGUGCCAGCAGCCGCGGGAAUACGUAGGUGGCAAGCGUUAUCCGGAUUUACUGGGUGUAAAGGGCGUGUAGGCGGGAAAGCAAGUCAGAUGUGAAAACCAUGGGCUCAACCUGUGGCCUGCAUUUGAAACUGUUUUUCUUUAGUACUGGAGAGGCAGACGGAAUUCCUAGUGUAGCGGUGAAAUGCGUAGAUAUUAGGAGGAACACCAGUGGCGAAGGCGGUCUGCUGGACAGCAACUGACGCUGAGGCGCGAAAGCGUGGGGAGCAAACAGGAUUAGAUACCCUUGUAGUC